AUGGCACAAGAUAAUACCAAAUUGUGUGACUUUACUAAUACCAACAACAAUGAUUUUAUUAGCACUCCGAUUGCUCCUCUUACUGAUGCUGAAUCUUGUGAAAUUAAUGCUACUUUGUUGAAUCUUGUCAUGAAAGAUCCGUUUUCCGGCCUUCCUAGUGAAGAUGCCGCUACCCAUCUAAACAACUUUGUUGAUUUGUGUGAUAUGCAAAAGAAGAAAGAUGUGGACAAUGAUAUUGUUAAAUUGAAGCUAUUUCCUUUUUCUCUUAGAGAUCGUGCUAAAGCUUGGUUUUCGUCUGUGCCUAAAAAUAGUAUUGAUUUGUGGAAUAAGUGCAAAGAUGCUUUUAUAUCUAAGUAUUUUCCUCCCGCUAAGAUCAUCUAUCUUAGAAAUGAUAUCAUGAAUUUUAAGCAACUAGAUCAUGAACAUGUUGCACAAUCUUGGGAGAGGAUGAAAUUAAUGAUACGUAAUUGCCCUACACAUGGUUUGAAUUUGUGGAUGAUUAUACAAAAAAAUUAUGCCGGAUUGAAUUUUUCUUCUAGAAAUCUUUUAGAUUCGGACGCGGGAGGCACUUUUAUGGAAAUGACUUUAGGAGAAGCUACUAAACUCCUAGAUAAUAUUAUGGUUAAUUAUUCUCGAUGGCACAUUGAAAGAUCUACUAAUAAGAAAGUGCAUGCGAUAGAAGAAAUUAAUGUUUUGAAUGGAAAGAUGGAUGAACUUAUAAAAUUAUUUGCUAAUAAAAGUGUUUCUUCUUAUCCUAAUGAUAUGCCUUUGUCUACUUUAAUUGAGAAUAAUAAUGAAUUUAUGGAUGUGAAUUUGGUUGGUAGGAAUAAUUUUGGUAACAACGCGUAUAGAGGAAACUUUAAUCCUAGGUCAUAUCCUAGUAAUUCCUCUAAUAAUUAUAGUAAUUCCAACAACAAUUCUUAUGGAAAUUUUAAUAAGAUACCCUCUGAUUUUGAAUCUAAUAUUAAAGAAUUUAUUACUUCGCAAAAGAAUUUCAAUGCUUUGAUUGAAGAAAAAUUGCUUAAGAUUAAUGAAUUGGCUAGGAACAUUGAUAGAAUUUCUCUUGAUGUUGAUUCUUUGAAACUUAGAUUUAUUCCACCUAAGCAUGAUAUCAAUGAGUCUCUCAAAGCCAUGAGAAUUUCUAUUGAUGAGUGCAGAGAAAGAACCGCUAGGAUGCGUGCUAAGAAAGAUUGCUUUAUAAAAGCGUGUUCUUCUAGUUUCCAUGAUAAUAAAGAUGAAGAUAUAAAAGUUAUUGAUGUGUCCCCUAUUAAAUAUUUGUUUUGA
rnacentral:rRNA from 1 species